rnacentral:rRNA from 1 species
UACGUAGGGAGCGAGCGUUGUCCGGAUUCAUUGGGCGUAAAGAGCUCGUAGGCGGUUUGUCGCGUCGGGAGUGAAAACUCAGGGCUUAACCCUGAGCCUGCUUCCGAUACGGGCAGACUAGAGGUAUGCAGGGGAGAACGGAAUUCCUGGUGUAGCGGUGAAAUGCGCAGAUAUCAGGAGGAACACCGGUGGCGAAGGCGGUUCUCUGGGCAUUACCUGACGCUGAGGAGCGAAAGUGUGGGGAGCGAACAGG